AGCCUUUCUUGCUCACAGCUAAACUCAUUUUGUCUGAUGCCACACUUUGCUCGGGAAUAAUAAUUGCAUUUUUUUUUUCUUCAAAAAGAAUAUCUACAAGUGAAACAAACAAUUUCAGAACUUCCACUGCAUAAAGACACGUGAACACCUUUAAAAGAUGCACAGUUAAUUGACAAUGAUUUAACUUUCUCUGUUUCUUCUCCAAAUUUCCCAUUCUUGUUCCUUCAAGAUCAUAAAAACAUUAGAUUUCCAGCCACAAUUGUGAUUCUCAUCCCCACAUUUAUUCACAAUUUUGCGGCUAGAAAAGAUGCCCAUCUUAGGAUUCUUUCUUAUCAAGAAACACGAAUACCCAUCUUAGAAUUCUUCGAGAUUAGGUUAGGUGUGUUACCCUCUUGAAUCGGCAAUCAACUGUCCACAGAAUCGUUGAGACUCAGGAUCUUGCAGCUCCAAUACCAAAUGUUGUGGCAAAGCCACAACCCAAAGGAAACGAUAGAAAAUAGAAAAAAUGGGAGAAUAAAGGAAAAAGAAUAGAAGAAAAAUUGAAGAAAGAUGAGGAAUAGGGAGAGGGAAAAAGGAUUUCUGAAUUAUUUUCAACACAGCUUUAUACAUUAUUUAUAUAUUUAGAAGCCACCAUUACUCGGUAUUCAGUUACAAACAACACAGUUAUACCCAAUCAAACUAAGCUCAUCUGCCUCCGUCAACCAGCGAUGGAGAAGAGAGGGGCUAUAUUGAAGAAGAUGACAGCAGUUGGAAAAAUGUAUUUAAAAUCCGAAGUCUGCUAACAACUGGGCACCUAAACGACGCGUCGUUUCGAAAAUCUAACAAUUUUUUCUUCAAAAGGAAUGUCUUCUAGCGAAACAAACAAAUUUGCGACUAAUUAAAAACAAAAAAAAAAAAAGAAAAUGCAAAGCCUUAUAUAUUUUAUUUUACCUUUGGAUUUAAUUUCAGUGUUUG
rnacentral:misc_RNA from 1 species